AGUUGAGGUAGGGGGAAUGUAUCAUGUAGCGGUGAAUUGCAUAGAUUUGAUACAGAACACCGAUAGCGAAGGCAGCUUCCCAAACUGUAACUGACAAUCCUUCAGGAAAGCGUGGGGAGCAAUCACGAUUUGAUACCCUGGUAGUCCACGCUGUAAAAUCUGAUCACUUUCUGUUGGCGAUUCACUGUUAGCGGAUUAGUGAAAUUGUUAACUGAUCCACUUGGGGAGUACGAUUGCAAGUUUGAAACUCAAAGGAAUUGUCGGGGGCCCGCUCAAGCGGAGGAGCAUGUGGUUUAAUUCGAUGAUACCCGAGGUACCUUUCCUGGUGCUUAAAUGCAGAAUUACCUCCCGAGAUAUCGGGCCUUCCUUCGGGACGGACUGCAAGGUCAUGCAUGUUUUUAGUCAGCUUGUUCCGUGAGGUGUUGGAUUAAGUCCCAUAACGAGCGCAACCCUUUUCGUUAGUUGCCAACAGGUAAUGCUGGGAACUUUAAGGAAACUGCCUUCGCAAGUAGUGAGGAAGGUGGGGAGGACGUCAAAUCUGCUCGGCCCUUAUGUCCAGGGCUCCCCACGUGUUCCAAUGGUGGGUACAGAGGGCAGCUACCUGGCAACAGGAUCCUAUUCUCGAAAGCCGUUCUCAGUUCGGAUUGGAGUCUGCAACUCGACUCCAUGAAGUU
rnacentral:rRNA from 1 species